AGAGUUUGAUCAUGGCUCAGAAUCAACGCUGGCGGCGCGCUUAACACAUGCAAGUCGCACGAGAAAAGGGCAACCUGAGUAAAGUGGCGUACGGGUGAGUAACACGUGGAUUAUCUACCUUCUAGUGGGGAAUACCCCUGGGAAACCGGGGACAAUACCGCAUAAGCCUGUGAAGGGAAAGCCGAAAGGCGCUGGAAGAG
rnacentral:rRNA from 1 species